rnacentral:rRNA from 1 species
CGGUAUGCUUAACACAUGCAAGUCGAACGGGAUGCUUAGGCAUCUAGUGGCGGACGGGUGAGUAACGCGUGAGAAUCUGGCUCCAGGUCGGGGAUAACAGUUGGAAACGACUGCUAAUACCGGAUGUGCCGAGAGGUGAAAGAUUUAUCGCCUGGAGAUGAGCUCGCGUCUGAUUAGCUAGUUGGCGGUGUAAGGGACCACCAAGGCAUCGAUCAGUAGCUGGUCUGAGAGGAUGAUCAGCCACACUGGGACUGAGACACGGCCCAGACUCCUACGGGAGGCAGCAGUGGGGAAUUUUCCGCAAUGGGCGAAAGCCUGACGGAGCAAUACCGCGUGAGGGAGGAAGGCUCUUGGGUCGUAAACCUCUUUUCUCAAGGAAGAAGAAAGUGACGGUACUUGAGGAAUAAGCAUCGGCUAACUCCGUGCCAGCAGCCGCGGUAAUACGGAGGAUGCAAGCGUUAUCCGGAAUGAUUGGGCGUAAAGGGUCUGCAGGUGGAACUGAAAGUCUGCUGUUAAAGAGUUUGGCUUAACCAAAUAAAAGCGGUGGAAACUACAGAACUAGAGUGCGGUAGGGGCAAAAGGAAUUCCUGGUGUAGCGGUGAAAUGCGUAGAUAUCAGGAAGAACACCGGUGGCGAAAGCGUUUUGCUAGACCGUAACUGACACUGAGGGACGAAAGCUAGGGGAGCGAAUGGGAUUAGAUACCCCAGUAGUCCUAGCCGUAACGAUGGAUACUAGGCGUGGCUUGUAUCGACCCGAGCCGUGCCGGAGCUAACGCGUUAAGUAUCCCGCCUGGGGAGUACGCACGCAAGUGUGAAACUCAAAGGAAUUGACGGGGGCCCGCACAAGCGGUGGAGUAUGUGGUUUAAUUCGAUGCAACGCGAAGAACCUUACCAAGGCUUGACAUCCUGCGAAUCCUGGUGAAAGCUGGGAGUGCCUUAGGGAGCGCAGAGACAGGUGGUGCAUGGCUGUCGUCAGCUCGUGUCGUGAGAUGUUGGGUUAAGUCCCGCAACGAGCGCAACCCUCGUUUUUAGUUGCCAGCAUUAAGUUGGGCACUCUAGAGAGACUGCCGGUGACAAACCGGAGGAAGGUGAGGAUGACGUCAAGUCAGCAUGCCCCUUACGUCUUGGGCUACACACGUACUACAAUGCUACGGACAGAGGGCAGCGAGCCAGGGAUGGCAAGCGAAUCCAGAAACCGUAGCUCAGUUCAGAUCGAAGGCUGCAACUCGCCUUCGUGAAGGAGGAAUCGCUAGUAAUUGCAGGUCAGCAUACUGCAGUGAAUUCGUUCCCGGGCCUUGUACACACCGCCCGUCACACCAUGGAAGUUGGUCACGCCCGAAGUCAUUACCCCAACCGAAAGGAGGGGGAUGCCUAAGGUAGGACUGGUGACUGGGGUGAA